rnacentral:rRNA from 1 species
UACAGAGGGGGCGAGCGUUAUUCGGAAUUAUUGGGCGUAAAGGGCGCGUAGGCGGCUUUGCAAGUGGCGGGUGAAAUCCCUCGGCUUAACCGAGGAACUGCCUGUCAAACUGCAUGGCUUGAGACCAGGAGAGGUGAGUGGAAUUCCCAGUGUAGCGGUGAAAUGCGUAGAUAUUGGGAGGAACACCAGUGGCGAAGGCGGCUCACUGGACUGGUACUGACGCUGAGGCGCGAAAGCGUGGGAGCAAACAGG